GCAUCUUCCGGAGUGGCCUCAACAUCUAACAAAUCUGCAAGGGCUUUAUCUGGUUAAUUUGCCCAAUUUAACAUCUCUUCCGGACGAGAUGCGUUGCCUAACCAGUUUGGAGUAUUUAAACAUAGGAGAAAUUCCUCAGUUGGUGGAAAGACGUCGGAAGGACAUUGGCGCUGAUUGGCAUAAGAUUGCUCACAUCCCCAACAUUGGGUUGAUUCAGGUUGGUCCGUCCUUGUUAUUUAUUUAUUUUGAUGACCUUAUCUUUUUUUGAAGAAAAAUAAGAGUGGUAUAUUGAAUCUCCAAGUCAGGGGUCUGAUGCCAUUUUUCAUUGAAGUUGGAUACAGUUAAUUUCCUUGUUAAAAUCCCUUUGUUUUCAUCCUACUUUUUACUUAUCAUCUUUCAUAAUAUUUUUGCUGAUUUGUGCAGUAAGGCAUUGCAGAAAGGCAUUAGUGAACUUCAAUCAAUUUUAUAUGCAUAAAAAGAGGUGCUAAUUUAUCUAUUUGCUUUUUACUUUUAAAUCAUAAGAAUAACUUGGGAAUUGCUUCUAAUAAUUUAAUUCUAAAAAAUCAUUGAUGUGGAGAGAGAGGCCUAUGAAGCCUUCAAAAUGGUUGUACUAUAUGCUCUGCUUUCUUCAUUGAAGCAGUUACCUAUCAUAUCUUUAUAUAUAUUUAUGUUUUCUCUUAACAUAUGCCAACUGAUUAGUAUCUUAUAUGGUACCUGUGAUAUUGACAGGCUUUUGGAGGUAUUCAAAUUCAUAAUAUUUAUUGAUGCAGGGCAGUCUUUUAGCUGUUUGGAAUUCCAGCCAAAUUUGUUGUUGAUGGUCCAAACAGGAAAAAAGGGAAGAUGCUUCAGAAUAUUUGGUGGUGAGGUUGAAGUUGUGAUUGCAUCAAGUGUUAAGAGGGGUUAGGCUUAAAUCAUUUCUUUGUACUAUGAAGUUCAUAUUGUAUUCAUCUUUGGGUAAGGCCCCGCAGAUGUAGGACGAGUUUCGAACUGUGUAAACAUCUUAAUUGUACUCUUUAUUUUCCUUGUUGCAUAAUACGUGUCAACUCAGAAAAAACACAUUUAUGUUUUUUUAGUGUUCGAAACAGCAUUCAAAUGCAGGAUGCACAAUUGAUUAUGAGACAACAAUUUUUUUAGACAGUAUUCCAUGACUAUGUUCAAUUAUGAUGCUUGGAUUAGGACUCUUCCAAAAGAUGUCGAUUUCCUGGCUGUAUAUACGUAUGACUUGUGCGUUGAUGCUUAUGUUGGCACACAUCAAACUACAAGUUGAAUAACACAUCUUGUAUUAUGUUGGCUAGACUCAACUUCAUUUUUGUCUGCUGCGCUCUUCCUCUUUAAUUGCUGAGAAAAAUCAGCAAUAUUUCAGAGUAGUUCCAAGGGCUGGCAAAAUUACAAGGUCCCUUAGUAUUAGUAUUUGUGCAUGAUUAUAUCAAGAUUAACAACCAACUGAAAUGAAGGAAAGAGCAUAAGUUUAACAAAUGCAUAUGUAGGAGAGCUUGUAUAAGAAAACUUACUGUUAGUAAUAAGGACCAUCAGAAAAUGCUUCACUACUUGAUUCAAAAGUUAAUUCAGAAAGGCCGAAACUCAAAGAGAUAAAUGGCAUGACAAAAUCAAGUAAAGUAACUAGUAAUUCACUUGUUAUCGUGUUGAAGACAAUAAGAAAAAGAAUAUAAUAUACGAACAUAAUUUUGCCUGACAAACUAGCAGUCAUAUUCUACAUAAGGGGGAAACUAUAGUGAUAGACAUUAUGGAUGUCAACUGAAUCCUUUUUCAAACAUCCAUCAAAGGCAAAACAUCAAAACAACUAACACCCAUCAACCUUUCUUCAUAUAGAGCACGACAUUAAAUGUUCGCCUUUAAACUCUCUUACUAUAGCAUUUGUAGUACAUAAAACUAACAUACUAUCAAUUGCAAUUAUAUUUGAUCACUACAUCUUUGCCUCAUCUGCAUUCUGAGAAUAUUUUAUAAUACUAAAACUUAGCCUUCUCAAGUUAAGGCAUCAAAAUGUUGAAGUCAUCAAGUUGUGGACAUUGGAUGAGGCCAGCAUUCCUUCAAUUUCAACUUAGUUCAGCAAACAAGCACUUUAAUCUACCAAAACUCCACUACAUCAUCAAAUACGGAAAUAGCUCACAUAUUAAAAUACAGACAUCACAAUUUCACCGCACAAACAAAUAAUGCUACUCAUAAUUUAUCCCCUAAGAAACUUAGCCACCAUGAAACAUUCCAUUUAUGAACAGAUCAAAAUAUCACACACAAAAAAAUUAAGCAAAUAAUAAAAUUGAAGGGGCUACAUUAACUUUGAACAAAUGUAUCAAUCAAGCAAGUAAUUAUAUUUUAAUUGUGUCAAAUAAUAAAAUUUAUUUUUCAAUUUAUAUCUAAAUAAGAUUUGUGUUUAGAUAGGUCUAUGACUUUCAUUGGAUGGACAAUUCAAUCAACUCUAGUGAAAUUAAAAAUAGUAGUAGCGGUGAGAUUAAUUGUUGUAAUAGUGAGCUUGAACACCAUAGUGAUGUGAUUGAAAUUAGUGUUGGAUACCUGUUUGGAUUCAAUAACAGUUGAAGAUUGAGUUGUACAAAAUUGAAGACACUGCUAGAUUGAGUAAUGAAUCCCACAUCUUCAUCUUAUGAUUGGUUGAAUGCUUAGCUGAGCUCCAUUCGAUUAUCAAAUAUUGAGGAUACGAGAAUGCGGGAGCCCUGCAGCAAUUACGACCCUUUUUAGGUUGUUACAAAACAGCUAUACCUAUAUCCAAUGUCUUCUUUUAUCUUCCACUAAUUUUAAUAUUUUUAAAAUUUUAUUUUCUUUGUACAUUAAUUUCUGUAUUGAAGUAGAAAAUUUUGGAUAAAAUUAAUAUUUUAUAAGAAUAAAUUAGCUCAAUAGCUUAAAUUUGCAUGGAGAUAAGAUGUUUACACACAUUUAAUUUUGGUUUUUUUUAUACAAUAUAAUUUAGAACUCACACACUAGCGUACACAUCCACCUUAACUAUAACAUAGGCAAAGCUUACAAAUCUAUCUCAUGACUUUGGGGAUGGGAUGAAUAGCUUUGACUAAUGAAUCAUAGGGCAAAGUCGACUAGCGCGAGGUUUGUAGGAAAAUGCACUAACAACACAUAGUCGAGGUCUGAUUUUUUAUUUACUAAGCAACUCAGUUGCGAACAAUUAUGAUCAAAGAUAAAUUGUGAGUUUCAUUGAAGCAUACAAUAUUAUUUUAAACAAGUUCUAACUUCUAACAAAGUAAAAUAACAUAUUCAAUGUAUGAAAAUAAUUAGAAAUAAGAUUUUAUUAACAUUUUAGAUGCUUCAAAAUUUAGAUUUAUUAAAUAAAUAAUAUUAAACAAAUUCACAUAUUGAUGUUGUCCUGGUCAAGGUUUUUAAAACCGAUUGGUAAUCCAACCAAUCAUAUCAAAUGAUUUUGGGUUGAGUUUGUUUGUCCAAUUCAAUUGAAUUAAUUUAAUUUAAUUCAGGAUUUUUAGAUAUAAAAUUUAUAUUAUAAUAAUUGAAAUUUGGAAUUCUUUUAUAGAUUUUAUAUAUUAAUUUAUUUAAAAUGUUUUCAAAUUUAACUAAUCAUAAUUAGAGACGUGUCAUGUAUUAGUAGAAAUUGUUAACUCUGAUCUUAAUUGUUCUUAUUUAUUCUCCUUUGAAAAGAGUACAUGGUCUCCUUUAAUCUGUUUUCCUUAGGGAGGGACUAAUUUGUUGACUUGCAAAAAGUACAGGGACUUUAAGGGGCAUUUACACCAAAAAAGAGUUUGCAUUGGUUGUCAAAGUUUACAGGAUAAAUUACCAAAUAAAAGACAUUUAAAGGUGUCUAAAUUACUUGUCUAAUUUCUUUCCCAAGAAGACAAUAAUAUGUUAGCUCUGACAUAUACUAUUUAAUAAGCUAAUGAUACCCAUGAAAUUUGUUUACAUCUAUGGGUUUUAUUCAUUUUUAAUUCUGAAAUUUCCUUCAGUUUUGACUGCUGUGUAAUUGGGUUUGCUUUUUUCUUUUUAAUUAAAAAUAUAUAAAUUUUUCCACAAAAGAAACAUUUGAUACUUUUCUGGAUUGACAUUUAUAAUUUGCAGGAUUAUUGUUGCUACAGAGAGAAAAUUGAUGGGCUAUAAUCCUCCUUGGAGACCUACAUUUCCAUAGCUAGCUAAGAAACUGAUAAUACUCUAAAAUAACAUAUUUUUAUGUAUUAAUUACAUAUUUAUUUUGAGUAUGAUCCUAUUAAUUUGAGUUAUUUAUGGUUUUUUAUCUCAUAGGGAUUAAAUUGAAGGCAAAAGAAAAUUUGGGGACAAAAAGCGUGAAUUUAAAGACAAAAUGGGUCAGCAUGCGAAAUAGGAAAGAAGUGAUGUCGAAAAUACAAAGUGUGAAAGACUUAGGGCAAAAAUUCAAAGAAGAGAUUUAUGAACAAAAGACUCCAUUUAAAUUUAAAUUUUAUUUUUAGGAUUACUGAUAGGAUUAUUAUGAUAUAUUAUUUAUAUUUAAUUUCAGAUUAUAUAUUUAUUUAUCUUUUAAAGUUUAAAUAGGAACAAACUAAGUUUUUUAUGUACUCUAAAUAGGGGGAUAGAGUUCUAAAUAGGGGAUAGAGUGACGUAAAUAUUGACUCAUCUUUUCUAUAAAAAUUUUGGUUUCCCUAAAGCUCUAGCUUUUUGUUCCUUUAUUGAACUCAUCUAGUCAAAGUUUGUAGAGAUUUCUCAAAAAAGGUUCAUGAGGCUUAUAAUCCACACUUAGCCUUCUCAACAAGUAUUUAUUGUUUCUCAGCAUUACGGGACUGACGCUUCCGUCCAUGUACUUCCAAAAGUGAUCUUCUCAUCUUGUGCAAGGAACGGCCGUUUUGUAUGUUUUGGGAACGUUGCACAGUCGGUUCGCUAACUUACAGCGUUAGUGGUUGUCGAGCCCAAAAAACGAAAUGGCGUGACAUUCACCAUUAAGAAAUGAUGAUCUAGUGUAAGACGGUUCCACAAAAGUGACGGUUAGCUAAAUUCAUGUUCCUCUAAUCAUAUGAUUAUUUAUAGAUGUCAUUGGUCACAACCUCAAAUAUACAAUGGACUGAUUUCGUACAAACAACAAGAUUGAUCCAAUGAUUAAGUUAAAAUGUAUGUAUAUGUAAAAUAAAUAAUUAAUAAUAUAUUUAAAAAUAAAUUAUUUUAAAUAAUAAUUAAAAAUAUCAAAACUAUGUUUAUAUUAAAAAAUAAUUAAAAUUAUAUUUUAUAUUAAAUUAUAAAAUAUACGUAAGAAUUGUAUGUUUUAAUUUUUUUUAUUAAAUAAGUAGUUAAAAUCACUAAAAAAUUUAUUUCAUUAUUAUUUACUUUCAAACUUUUAUGUUUGAAUUUUUUAUUGUUGCACUAUUUUAAUUAUGCACCACAAUUUGAAUAAUAUUAUUUUUGUAUUAAUUACAUAAAAUAAAAAAUAUAUUAUUCAUGGAAUAAUAAAUAAAUAUACAAAAUCACGUAUAAUAAUAUUCAAUGAAUAAUAUAUUUAUGAUAAUAAAUUUACAUGUAUUUAAUAUACCAUUAUAUAAAUAUUAAUUUGUAAAAUAUUUAAUUUUUAUAACAAUUAAAUAAUUAAAUUUAUAAUUAUCAUAUGAUAUGUACUUAUAUAACACCUCUAGUGAGAAAAACAAUUUCAUUGCAGGUUAAAUUUUUUAAGAAAAUUUUUUAUGUCCAGUUUGGUGCAAUAAAAUCAAGUGAUAUUAGUUUAAUUCGAUUGUAUUUUUUUUAUUCCUCCAUUAUAGUUUAGUUUAGUUAGAUUUUUUAUUAUAAAUUUUUAUAAUUAUUUUAAUAAAAUAAACUUUAUUUUACUGCUUUUAAAUAUCAUUUGACAAAUUUUCAAAGUUAUUUUCAUAGAUAUUUUUUAAAAUUUUUAAGUAAAUAAAAAAUCAAAUACUUUUAUAUAAUAUUUUUAAAAUAUAUUUAUUCAUUUUCACUAUUUUUAAAUAUAAAAUAUUUAUUUUAUAUUAUAAAAAAUAAAUUUAUUUAUAAAUUAAAUAAAGAAUAGAAUUUGGUUUGGUUUCGGAUAAUUAUGAUUUUUUAAUUUGUAUUCCAUAAACCGUCUAAACACCUUAAUUUGGAUCGAUUUUCAAUUAUUUUAUUUACUCAACCCUACUCACGGGAGGUAAAUCGAUUUUCGAUUUUCAAUUAUAACAGUGAGAUUAGCUCUAAUGAGAUCGAAAACAUAUAUAAUAAUAAGAUUAGAAACUAUUCCACACCAUCUUGAAUUUUGCUGAUGUGACAUACACACGGAUUGCCACAUAUAUGUCACAUAAGCAGUAAUUAUUUUUAAAAUUUUAAAAAAUUAAAAAAUAUAUUUUAAAAAUUUAAAAAAUUAUAAGAAAAUAUUUUUAAAUAUUUUUUAAAUAAUUAAUUGUUAACGUGACAUACAUGUGGUAAUCCACCUAUAUGUCAUGUCAACAAAGUUAACAAACGUUAACUUUUUCACCCAUUUUGGAUGGUUUGACAGAAAAAUGUAAGUUUAAAGACUAAAAGAGAAGGAAAAUAAAUAUAGAGCUAAAAUAAUUCUUUUAUGAAGUUGGAAUACCAAAAAAGUUAUUAUACUUUUAUUUUUCAAAAUAAUGAAAUUUCCAUUAAUAACACUUCAAACAUAAGUGCAUCUGCAUUUGCUUCGUGAUUGUUCUUUCUAUAAAUUCACCAUAAUCAUGUUAAACAAGUAAUUUAGUGAGGUUAAGUAUUGUAACAGUGAGAUUAAAGUUAAUUAUAGAAUAUGUAUUUGAAUUCAAAUGUAAAUAUAUUGAUAAAAUGAGAAUAAAAAAUCAAUAUUAAAGCGGAAUUAGAUGCCCUCAUCAAUGGUUUUCAGCUUGCUCAAUUUCUUAAAGCCGACAAUGUCAUUUUUGAAACAGAUUGUGCUAGCAUUGUCAACUGCUUUAGUUUUGACAAGAAGGACAUAACGAUCCUUGAUCACUGCAUCAAGGAGUUCACAAGAUGCUUGAUUCUUUUGUUUCCGCUAAGGUCAAAUGGGUGAAACGUGGUUGUAACAAAUUAGCUGAUUCUCUUUGUAAUUGGGCUCUUUCUAAGUGUUGUAAUUUGUCUUUUGAGAUGGAUUAUCCUAGCGAUAUCCAUAACAUUGUAAUUUAUUAUGCAACUUAAAUUGAGGUAGUAACCUUUGGGUCCUUUUUUUUAUUAAAAAAAUCACUAUUAAAUAUAUUAAGUUAAAAUGCAGGUAUAUGUAAAAUAAAUAAUUAAGAAUAUAUUUAAAAAUAAAAUAUCUUAAAUAAACAAACCAAAAUCAUCCAACUCACAGUAAACAAUUUUAUGUGUAUUAAAAUAAUUAAAUAGAUAUGAGCACCUGUAAUAUCCCGAAAAUUAUUACUGUAAUACCCCGAAAAUUACUACAGUAAGAAAGUAGGUAUCCUUGAUAUAGUAAAAUAAAGAAAUAAAGUGACAAAAAGGGAAAUUUUGAGUUAUGACAACAUUAGGAAUUAUAUUAUAAUAUAUUAAUUCAAGAAAGGAUUAAAUCGCAAAAGUGAGAAAAGUUUUGUUGAUCAAGAAUAAAUACUCAAAAUUUGAAGGGGUAGAGUGUAAAUAUGAAAAAGCUGAAGGACCAAUAGUGAAAAUAUUUUAAGGGUGGAAUAAUCUAGAAACUAAGGAAAAUGGAUGAAUUAGGACCAAAUUAAAAAGGUGAAGAAUUUUGAGGGACUAAAUCAUAAUUUUACCAAAUUAAGUGAUGACUCAAGGAUGGAAUUUUUAAAGAUUAUAAAGGGCAAAAUGGUCAAUUAGAAGAGAGAGAAAUCUAGAAGGCAAUGAUGAUGUUGGUGAUAUUUUAGAUUAAUUAAUUAAAUUAAUAUUAAUUAAUUAAUAUUUUAAUUUAAUUUUUAAAUGAUAUUUUAUUAUUAUUCUAUUUAGUAUAUAUAUGGAGGGAAAGAUGAAGAACCAACGUGAGAAGAAGGAAGAAAGAAAGAAAGUUUUCUUUUCUUUACAAUUUGGUCCUUCCUCCAAAAAUUUACCAUUUUCACCUAGAAAUCAAAAGAAUUCCCAUAGCUACCAAGAGAGAAAAAUGUUAAGGAGACUAUGGGGAGCUAGAAUAUCAAGUUCGAUUCAAUAAAUAGAAGCUGGAGGAGAGAGAAAAUCAAGUUAAAGAUUAAAAUCAAUAACACAAGGUAAGAACAUCAAGAUUUCAAUAUACUUUUGAGUUUGAUAUUAUUGAAAAAGUAGAAAAUUAAUGUUAAUGUAGAGUUUCAUUAUAUAAGGUUAUAUAUUGUUGUUAUGUUAGUAAAGGGAAAUAAGAGGAAGUGAUGGAAAAUACUGAAGAGAAAGGAAAGGAAGGUGUUAUAAAUUUAGUUAUCAACAUUUUACACUAAAAUAGUUUUGGACAGUAGCAAUAGGUUAACUUUGAAAAUUCACCAUAAAUAUGAAAAAUCAAAUUAGAGGAUGAAAAAAUAUGAAAUUAAAGAUUAUUCAGUCUAGUUUCUCAUAGAAGAAAGGGUGUAAGUAAUGAAAUUUUAAAUCAUGAGAUAUAAUGAAUUUUGUGAGAUAAGGUCAAGAUGAAUUCGGGUUCCCCUGUUUUGACUUGGAAAAUCAUUAAAAAUUGUAUAAAAAUAAUUAUGGGUUAUAAUUUAUAUUUUUAAAAUCCUUAAUGAGUCUAUUUUCAAUAGAAACAAACGGGAACAUCAUCUGAAUUUUUUACAAUGAGAUAAUUAAUUUUGAGUGAAGAGGGGUCGGAACUAUCAAAAAAUGAAAUAGGCGAAACUUUAAAAAAUAAAAUAUACUUAUUGGAUAAACCAAAAAUUCUGAAAAUUUUAUGGUAAGAAGAUAUGUGAGUAUAGUUUUAUAUAAAAUUUACAAAUCUCAAUUUGGAGUUUUGUAGCUUAAUAUAUAAUUUAUUUAGUGACUAUGACUCAGGUGAACAGCUUGUUAUGAGUAAACAAGUAAAUAGUGGUAUUAUGUAUAUAUCAAGGAUGUAGAAUGGAGUGGAGGAGGAGGAAAAAUAUAUGUGAAUAUUUAGAUAAUAUGGGUUUAUUUUAAAAAUAGCUAAUUUACAUGUUUUAGGUUCAGGGACUAAAUUGAAUAAAAGUAAAAUUUUUAGGGUAAUUUUGUAAAAAUGUCAAAAAGUGACCAAAUUGCAUGAAAUAAAUUUUUUUAUUAUUUAAAUUAAUAAAUUGAAUGAAAUAUUAAUUUAGAUCAAGAUUGGGUGGAAAUUCAAGUAAAAUAGAAAAUUAUUAAAAUAUCCCUAAAUUUUGGUAUUUCUGCAAUUUAGCCUGGUAAGUUAGUAUGAACUAUAUUCAGUAUAAUUUUAAUUAAAGUGAACGUUAUUUGGUGAUGAAUAUUAUAUAAAUAUGUGUUUUAUUAUUUGAAUUGAAUUAUUAUUGGUAAUAUGUAUAAUUAUUAGGUCUUGACUUGUUAGGAACAGUAGUUAAAACUCUUGUCAAUACCUGUUUAACACGGAUUCAAACAAUAUUACCUCCAUCCCCACUCUUAAUAUUAUAUAAAAAAAUUAAUAGCAAAUAUAAUUAACAUACCCAUUAAUAUAAAAACCAUUAGUAAUAAGAGUAUAUUAAAGUAGUAAUAGACAGUAACCAUUGUUGUAAUAUAUUAUUGUAGGCACUAAGUUACCUUAAAAGACAAAAAGUAUGGACAUGAUUUAAGUUUGAUUCAAUAAUCAUUAAAUUAUAUUUAAAUUAUUGAUUUAAUAUAUUCAAAUUUAAUAAUAUUUGAUUUUAAUGGUGAAUGACUUUUAUUGAAUUUUUAUUUUAUAUAUUCAACAGAAGUUAAAUUAAAAAAUAAAAUAUUAAAUUUAAGUUAAAACCAAGUAUUCAGACUCACUUAGGGCUAGUUUGGAUGGGUGGUGAGAUUGGAUACUGUAGCGGUGAGAUUAGAAACAAUGGUGGAGUGUGUGUUUGGAUUCAAACGCCGCUGUAGCGGUGAGAUGAGAAUAAGAAAUGACUAUUAAGGACAUCAAAUUAGAAUUGAUAUAUAAUAUAAGUUUUUUAAAUUAUUUUACUUUUUUAAAAUUAUUAAAAUAUGUGAAUUUAUAAAUUUAUUUAAUAAAAUAUUAAAAUGUAUCUUUUAAUAUUCUAUUUAUUUAUAUUUAUUAUCCUAUAAAUUAUUAUAUUUGUAUUUAUUUAAAUAAUAGUUAUAACAUUAAAAUAUUAAAAUGUCUUAUUUUCACACUCAUAUGAAAAAUAAAAUGGUAAAAAUAUUACCCACUGACGUUUCUUUUUGUUUACUGGUGUUUAACACUCUAGUCUAAAAUUUCCUCUCCAGUGCGUUGAAGGAUUUUAACUGGCCAAAUUUGAAUGUUAUCCAAACAGCUAUACGUGGUGCGAUUGCACCAAAAUCAAAGGUAAACGUACCGCAUUGGUAGUAACUGGGCAUCCAAAGGAGCCCUUAAUUACACAAAGUAAGUGGGUAGAAAGUUUAGAAAGACUUGAAUGGAUGGGCGUCAAUCAAAACACCUUGGAUUCCAUGGGAUUUGUCUCCUUUUUCUCUUUUCUUACAUAUCUUUUUCAUUAAUUUCAAUUAUUUGUACGGCUCCACAUUGUGCAGAGCACCCCAAGUGUCCAACUUUGUCUCCGUUGAGAAAUUUGUGUCAAACAGUAAACAUGGAGGGACCAUUUCCCACCAAUCAACAUUACUUUUUAUUUAAUUAUACUACUUGCUGGGUGGAUGGUAAUAUCUAUAAAUAUACUUGGUCUCUGCGUGUAUGGAUCCACAUCUGUGUUCCAAUCAUUCUCAUUUUUACUACUCCUCUUGCAAUAACCCAACACUUCUUUGCUUGAUUUCUGUUUGAACCAGCAAUGGCCGAAGCAAUUGCAUUCGACCUCGCCCUAGAGCUUAUUACUAAGUUGAGCUCUCGUGCUCUCUCUCAAGUUGGAAUGUGGUGGAAUCUCAAACAUGACCUCGACGACCUCAAACGCACUGUUCGUACAAUCAAAGCUGUGCUUCUUGACGCAGAAGAGAAAUCGGUGACCGACAAUCUCGUCAAAGUUUGGCUUGAAGAGCUGAAAGAUGUACUUUAUGAUGCUGACGACUUGCUAGAUGAUUUCUCUACCGAAGCUUUGCGGAAAGAUCUAAUGGGUGGGAACAAGCUGACGAAAGAGGUACGCCUUUUCUUCUCGAGCUCAAACCAGUUUGCUUACGGUCUCAAAAUGGGUCGGAAAAUUAAGACCAUUAAGGCCAGGUUGUUUUCAAUUGCAAGUGAAGCCAAGGUGUUCAACUUGGUAGAGCGUCACCGUCCCAUGGAAACCUCUUUCAUGACUAAAAAGAGGCAGCAAACGCACUCUUUUGUGCCUAAAGAUAAAAUAAUAGGGAGGGACGAUGAUAAAGCAGCUCUUCUAAAACUCGUGUUAGAGUUUGAAAGUGAAGAGACUGUUUACAUCAUUCCAAUUGUGGGGUUUGGAGGGUUAGGGAAGACUGCUUUGGCUCAAUUUGUCUAUAAUGAUGAAAUGGUCAAAAAUCAUUUUGAGUUGAUGAUGUGGGUGUGUGUUUCAGAUGUUUUUGAUGUCAAAAUAAUUGUAGAAAACAUUAUCAAAUCUGCAACAGGCAAAUCACCCGAUCAAAAUCUCGAAAUGGACCAACUGCAAAAACAACUUCGGGAAAAAUUUGGUGGGAAAAAAUAUUUGCUUGUUUUGGAUGACAUUUGGAAUGAAAAGUGGGAAAAAUGGGUUAGUUUAAAAGAGUUAUUAGUAGGUGGGGCUAAAGGAAGUAGGAUAAUAGUAACUACUCGCUCUUUGGGAGUAGCAAAGAUUACUAGUAAAUGUCAGCCUUAUGUUCUGAAAGGCUUGCCUGAUAAUGAUGCUUGGUCUUUGUUCAAAGAGAUAGCAUUUGAACAAAGAUCGGCAGACUCAACAGAUUCAGGCUUUGUGGAAAUGGGAAAGCUGAUUUUGGAAAGGUGUUGUGGAGUUCCCUUAGUCAUAAGGACGAUAGCUGGUACGUUAUCUUUCAAAGAAACUAAAAGUGAGUGGCUUUCUUUUAAAGAUAACGAACUUGCUAGAAUAUCUCAGAACGAAGGUGAGAUAUUACCUACACUUAAGUUGAGUUAUGAUCAUCUCUCAUCCCAUUUGAAGCAUUGUUUUGCUUAUUGUCGACUAUAUCCAAAAGAUCAUGAAAUUGAUGUACAAGAACUUGUUCAAUUUUGGAUUGCACAAGGUUUUGUAAAGCAAUUGAAUCCAAGUCAAUCUCUUGUGGAGAUCGGAUUUGGAUAUUUUAAAGAUUUAGUUGAAAGAAGUUUCUUUCAAGAGGUAGAAGAAUAUGGAUUUGAGGAUAUGACAUGUAAAAUGCAUGAUUUAAUGCAUGAUCUAGCUGAAUCAGUAGCAGGGAUGGAGAGUAGUAUUGUAGAUUCAAAUAAAAUUGCAAGUGAUGUUGGUGAAAAAUGUCGCCACAUAUCAAUUAAACCUUCAUUAAUUCCUUUGUUUAAGGGAAAGAAGUUGCGAACCUUGUUACAUUUUCAAUACGAAUUAAGUCAAGAUUUCAGCUAUGAAACUUGGGAUUUGAUAAUUGCAAAUUGCAGAUGCUUGCGUGUAUUGAAAUUGAAUUCUAUAGGUAUUCAUAAGAUUUCACCCUCCAUUUGUAAGUUGAAACAUUUGAGGUACCUUGAUCUUACUUAUAAUCCCGGACUUAAGAUUCUCCCAGAGAGUAUUUGCAAGAUUCAGAAUUUGCUAGCGCUGGAACUUGACAGCUGUCAUAUUCUUAAAGAAUUGCCAAAGAAGAUUGAAAAAUUGGUGAAUCUUACCCAUCUUUCUUGUUCUUUUUGUUGGGAAUUAACUCAUAUGCCACGUGGAAUAGGGAAGCUGACUUCACUUGAGACGUUAAGCACGUUUGUAGUGGAUAAAGAUGGGUCCCAUGGCGGUGCAGAUCUAAGUGAAUUGAGACUGCUUAACAACUUAAGGGGAGAGUUAAGAAUAGCAAAUUUGGGAUUCGUAAAAAAUGCAAAAGAGAAGUUUAAGGCUGCUAAUUUGAAAGAGAAGCAACAUUUGAGAUCGUUACAUUUACAAUGGAAUGCUGAUGAAGAUGAUGAUGAGAAGUCACUUGAAGACCUCCAGCCCCAUCCUAAUCUCAAGGAGUUCUAUAUUGCAGAAUGGAGGGGUGAUGCCAAGUCUCCAAGUUGGCUUUCUUUUCUAACAAAUCUCGUUUAUAUGACAAUAAUUCAGGGUAAUUUCAAACAAAUCCCGUCCUUUGUGCAAUUUCCUUGUCUUAAAGGGCUGACCAUAGGUGAUUGUACUAAGCUGGAGUACAUGGAUGAUAAUAGCCCAAAAGGAAGUCAAGGAGAACCACAAUCAUUCUUCCCAUCACUGAAGCAUCUUUCGCUCUUUAACUGUCCGAAUAUGAAGAGUUGGUGGAGGACGACAAAACCAAUCGAUGAUGAUUCCAACGAGGACGACACAACAGUUAUGGGAACAUCAACCAUGGGAUUUCCUUGUCUUUCCUCUUUAUUAAUUAAAAAUUGCCCUUUGACAUCAAUGCCGCUGUAUCCAUCACUCGAUGAAGAUCUAAUGUUGUCGAAUACCAGUUCAAGGCCGUUAAAGCAGACUAUCAAGAUGAACAUCAAUGCUAAGGCCCCAUUAACUUCAACCUCUUCUCUUCCACUCUCCAAAUUGAAAUCUUUCGAUGUACGCAAGAUUGAGGGGUUGGACACUCACACACUAGAUGAGUGCCUGCAACAUCUCACCAGCCUCAAAAGAUUAACAAUAAGAGAUUGCAAGGAGGCUGAUUUAGAGGGCAUGCAAUGGGAACCCCUUAAGAAUCUCUCUCAUUUGGAGAUUGAUAAUAUUCCAAUGCUGGUGUCUCUCCCCAUUGGGCUUCAACAUCUUGUUCAAUUGAAAAGAUUAAAAAUUCAUAACUGCAAUGGAUUGAGGUCACUGUUUCCUGUGUUCCAACAUCUCACUUUCCUUGAAGAGUUUGAAGUAGAGGACUGCAAGGAGCUGGAGUUAUCUGGAGCUGGCAUCCAAAUAUUCCAAGAUCAUACAAGCUUACACUCUCUACGGCUGCAAAAUAUUCCAAAGUGUCGGCAUCUUCCGGAUUGGCUUCAACACCUAACAAAUCUGCAACGGCUUUAUCUCGUAAAUUUGCCCAAUUUAACAUCUCUUCUGGACGAGAUGCGUUGCCUAACCAGUUUGGAGUAUUUACACAUACGAGAAAUUCCUCAGUUGGAGGAAAGAUGUCGGAAGGACAUUGGCGCUGAUUGGCAAAAGAUUGCUCACAUCCCCAACAUUGUGUUGUAUCAGGUUGGUCCGUCUUUGUUAUUUAUUUAUUUUGAUGACCUUAUCUGUUUUUGAAGAAAAAUAAGUGGUAUAUUGAAUCUCCAAGUCAGGGGUCUGAUGCCAUUUUUCAUUGAAGUUGGAUACUGUUAAUUUCCUUGUUAAAAUCCCUUGUUUUAAUCCUAC
rnacentral:lncRNA from 1 species